CUCCCUCCCGCGUCUUCCUCGGGCGGCAGGACCUCUUACCCGCCUUCAGCCUCCCCGGAACUGGGCUCAACUGUCGGAGCAGCAGAGAUCCCCUCUCCAGGAGGAGCGGCUGCUCCCGCUGCCACCGGCUUCAUCUCCCCCUCUUCUGCCCCUGUUGCAUUUGCGACCGCUCCUGGGCCAGGCCCGGCACCCGCUUCCUGGCCAGGUCCUGCUCCUGCCGCCGCCAUCACGGCCACCCCUGGACUUCUCGCGAGAAUACUCUCUUCUCUCGCGCGCGUUGCUGUGUGACGCUGUAGUCUUCAAACAGAAAAAGCCCGCGGUGCGUCCACCGCCUGCCUGAGGAAGCAUAAUUCCACGACCGCUUUAAGGCCAGGCGCGCGGGCAGAGGUGGGCCGGCCUCCCGCGCCGGCGGUGGCCGCGGGCCUGGCAGGCUGAAGGUGGAGGAAGCUAGAUGGUUAGUGCGGCUCUCUGGAGGACUUCCUUUCGAGUCAGGGACUGACGCGGCGUAUUUUCGUGGCUACGACUGGAUAUUCUGCGCAGAAGAGGGUCCUUGAGAGCGCUGGCCGUGCCGUGCCGCCAAACACUCCUCACCACCGAAUGUGGGAAACGUCUUCCUUGGAGUCUAGCACUCCCUGCCCGCCCCGGAUGGAAUUUGGUUUUCUGCGCAGGGUCGCCCCUUGGAGCCCGUUUCCAAAUGAUUUUAAGAGGGAAGGGAAUCUAGGGAGGCCGAUUCCAGGGGCGAGGGUGGAAAACCCAGGCCGGGCAGCCGAGGAGCGGCGUGGGCACUAGAAGCGGCUCGCCGCUUCCUACUGUGAGAGGCGGAAAGCGAAGCCCCGGGGUGUGCCGGGGCACUCGGAAUGUAGACAAGUUUGGUGCCCAGCGAAAGGAAGAGGUGUGGACUGAAAGUACGAACUUGGGAAGUCAUCAACAGUAGCUGGUGGCUGGCAUCAGUGGAGUGAGUUGAGUCUUUCAGAGCCAUGGUCUCCAAACUCGAGAAUGCAAACCUCUGAGAGUGUUGCGGCCAGGAACGUUUUCAGGACACCAGUGUUUAUCCUAUAUCCUAAAAUGUUGCCUAACGAUAAUACACUCUUCUCCCGCUUUACACAAGAACGGCGCACCCCUCGCCAAUCCUCAGUCUAAUCUUACUGUGAUGUGUCCACCGAUAGUGUAGGAAUCUCUGGGCCACUGGACGCCAUGGGAAAUACGUAGAUAUUGAUUUCCCAAUUGGUUCUCAAUUAUUGGUUUUCAACAAAAUUGAAGAAAGACCUAACUGAGUUGCCAGGUUACAUUUUUAAAAUUGAUGAUAAAUACUUAAAUCAGGGGUUGGUACUCCAAAGAGAAGCAGGAUGCUUGAUCUAAGUAUCUCCUCCCAAAUACGUAGUAUUGUAGCAGUUUUAACAUAUGGUCGCAGAAUUUUGUGUUUUCUUGUUGUUGUUUGUUUGAGACAGAGUCUCGCUCUGUCGCCCAGGCUGGAGCGCAGUGGCCCGAUCACGGCUCACUGCAACCUCCACCCCAGGUUCAAGCGAUUCUCCUACCUCAGCCUCCCGAGUAGCUGAGAUUACAGGUAUCUGUCACCACGCCCGGCUAAUUUUUGUUAGUAGAGGCGGGGUUUCACCAUGUUGGCCAGGCUGGUGUCGAUCUCCUGACCUCAAGUGAUCCACCCACCUGGGCCUCCCAAAGUGCUGGGAUUACAGGUGUGAGCCACCGCGCACGGCUUUUUUUUUUUUUUUUUGAAACGGAGUCUCGGUUUGUCGCCCAGGCUGAGUGCAGUAGCGCGAUCUCAGCUCACUGCAACCUCCACCUCGCGGUUUCGGGUUCAAGCGAUUCUCUUGCCUCAGCCUCCCGAGUUGCUGGGAUUACAGGCACGCGCCAUGACGCCUGGCUAAUUUUUGUAUCUUUAGUAGAGACGGGGUUUCACCUGUGUGUUUUUUUUUUUUUUUUCUGA
rnacentral:lncRNA from 1 species